rnacentral:rRNA from 1 species
GAUUAAGUUAUUAAGGGCGCACGGUGGAUGCCUUGGCACUAGAAGCCGAUGAAGGACGUUACUAACGACGAUAUGCUUUGGGGAGCUGUAAGUAAGCUUUGAUCCAGAGAUUUCCGAAUGGGGAAACCCAGCAUGAGUUAUGUCAUGUUAUCGAUAUGUGAAUACAUAGCAUAUCAGAAGGCACACCCGGAGAACUGAAACAUCUUAGUACCCGGAGGAAGAGAAAGAAAAUUCGAUUCCCUUAGUAGCGGCGAGCGAAACGGGAAGAGCCCAAACCAACAAGCUUGCUUGUUGGGGUUGUAGGACACUCUAUACGGAGUUACAAAGGACGACAUUAGACGAAUCAUCUGGAAAGAUGAAUCAAAGAAGGUAAUAAUCCUGUAGUCGAAAAUGUUGUCUCUCUUGAGUGGAUCCUGAGUACGACGGAGCACGUGAAAUUCCGUCGGAAUCUGGGAGGACCAUCUCCUAAGGCUAAAUACUCUCUAGUGACCGAUAGUGAACCAGUACCGUGAGGGAAAGGUGAAAAGCACCCCGGAAGGGGAGUGAAAUAGAACCUGAAACCGUGUGCUUACAAGUAGUCAGAGCCCGUUAAUGGGUGAUGGCGUGCCUUUUGUAGAAUGAACCGGCGAGUUACGAUUUGAUGCAAGGUUAAGCAGUAAAUGUGGAGCCGUAGCGAAAGCGAGUCUGAAUAGGGCGUUUAGUAUUUGGUCGUAGACCCGAAACCAGGUGAUCUACCCUUGGUCAGGUUGAAGUUCAGGUAACACUGAAUGGAGGACCGAACCGACUUACGUUGAAAAGUGAGCGGAUGAACUGAGGGUAGCGGAGAAAUUCCAAUCGAACCUGGAGAUAGCUGGUUCUCUCCGAAAUAGCUUUAGGGCUAGCCUCAAGUGAUGAUUAUUGGAGGUAGAGCACUGUUUGGACGAGGGGCCCCUCUCGGGUUACCGAAUUCAGACAAACUCCGAAUGCCAAUUAAUUUAACUUGGGAGUCAGAACAUGGGUGAUAAGGUCCGUGUUCGAAAGGGAAACAGCCCAGACCACCAGCUAAGGUCCCAAAAUAUAUGUUAAGUGGAAAAGGAUGUGGCGUUGCCCAGACAACUAGGAUGUUGGCUUAGAAGCAGCCAUCAUUUAAAGAGUGCGUAAUAGCUCACUAGUCGAGUGACACUGCGCCGAAAAUGUACCGGGGCUAAACAUAUUACCGAAGCUGUGGAUUGUCCUUUGGACAAUGGUAGGAGAGCGUUCUAAGGGCGUUGAAGCAUGAUCGUAAGGACAUGUGGAGCGCUUAGAAGUGAGAAUGCCGGUGUGAGUAGCGAAAGACGGGUGAGAAUCCCGUCCACCGAUUGACUAAGGUUUCCAGAGGAAGGCUCGUCCGCUCUGGGUUAGUCGGGUCCUAAGCUGAGGCCGACAGGCGUAGGCGAUGGAUAACAGGUUGAUAUUCCUGUACCACCUAUAAUCGUUUUAAUCGAUGGGGGGACGCAGUAGGAUAGGCGAAGCGUGCGAUUGGAUUGCACGUCUAAGCAGUAAGGCUGAGUAUUAGGCAAAUCCGGUACUCGUUAAGGCUGAGCUGUGAUGGGGAGAAGACAUUGUGUCUUCGAGUCGUUGAUUUCACACUGCCGAGAAAAGCCUCUAGAUAGAAAAUAGGUGCCCGUACCGCAAACCGACACAGGUAGUCAAGAUGAGAAUUCUAAGGUGAGCGAGCGAACUCUCG